ensembl:lncRNA
UCUCCCAGGCUAAAUUGGGAGUGUGAAGCUGCUCUUCUUCCCAAUUUAGCUUUUGAAUUAAAGUGAGAAGUGAAUGUGGCUGGAAAGCUGACUCCCAUCUGUGUGUGAGAGAGAAGGGCAAAGCAAGCGAGCAUGAGCACAUGCCAGGCGGCCAGGGCGAGGGUAGGUGGUCUGGGCAGCUGCUGUUUAGUGCAGACACCCAUCCUCAGGUGCCGGCAAACAGCUCUGCAAAGAGAUGCUGAGGGUAGAAGGCUGGUGUUUUUUGGGAGAGGAAGAAUGCUGCAGAGAUGUCAUUCGCACAUUCCAGAAAAAUGUGCUGAAUUAUUAGUGUGCCAUGCCCUGUACUAGAUGCUGGGGAAACAGUGGUGAACCAGGUAGGCCCAUUGCCUAUGCCCGGGCUUUCAGUCUAGUGGGGACACAUGGGCAAUGAUGAAACAGGGUGAUAUGUGCGGCCAGGGAAGAGAACACGAAAGAGAAGGCCACAGGGGCCUGGACCAGGUGCGGUGUCACAUCUAAGCUGAGACUUGAAGAACACGCAAGACACCACCAAGCGAAGCAGGAGGCAAAGAGCACGGAGAAGAAAGCCAGAAGAGAAUGCCAGGGCCAGAAGUCUGGGAGCGCAUGAGUCCCUUUUGCUCAGUCUCUAAAAUAGUUGAAGCAGAGAGAGGAGGGAAGCCCCAGGUCUCCUUCUGAGUUGCCACUCAGGAAGUUGGACCCGGCAGGUCCAAGAUGGACAUGGAACAGAGGAAAUGGGAUCUCACUUGCAUCAGAGGAGACAAAGGAAUCAAGAAGGGUCGCUGCUUGGUUAGCUUACCCCAUCCUCCCCCGGAAGCUGCCUGAGUUGGUCUCUGGGGGAUCCGUCCUCUUCUCACCUAAUGGCAAUGAAUCAUGAUCUGGUGGAGAUGGGGACAGGUCAAAAUCUUGGCAAAGAAAAGAGGAAUAAAGGAGCUCUUUGGGGGCCAUGCAUUUCUCUGUCAACUCUCAAGUUCCCCAAUGACAGGCACGGCUAAGGGAUGCUGGUGUAAAACUUGCCAUUAAUAUUUCAGGCAGCAUUACUUAUUGAUCACUCAUUUGGCUGGGACAAAAGAAGAGUAAUUCAUUAGGUGUGCAGGGCUGCUGGGGUCAGUUUGGGAAAGAGGUCAGGCAAAGGUAGGUCAUUCAGGAGUCAGUCUUGGCUGCUGGAAAAAAUACCUUGGGGUCCCAGGGGCUGAAGAUUAGGGUCUUUGUCUCCUUUUUCAGCUCUACAGUACCCAUGUACCCAUGAUGAAAAUAAGGGAAGGGGCAGGGGACGGGAAACCUAGGGGCAGCCCUGGAACUGCCACUGUGGCCAUAAGGGAGUCAGCUCCAGGGAACCCUGCAUCUAGGUGAGUGUCCCUCUCGCUCGCCCAAAUUGUCCCUCUCUUGACAAUAUUUUAGAAGCCCAAGUUGGGUUCUUUGGGCUGUAUGACCCUCCUAGGGUCAGCUUGGCAAUUUCCUUGCUCCCAGGAGGUGCCUCAUCCUUCCCCAAAGGGAGUACCUGCUUGCUGGGUCUGAUUAUCUCCUCUGCACACAAACUGGGGUUGGAAAGUGAUUGAGAAUUCAUAUCUGCCUAUCCACCCACAAGGAUGCUUUCUUCAUGAACCUGCAGCUCCAGGAACUGCGGUAUAAAGCAUCCUGCUCAGCGGACCUUAAAAGCCCACUGACUGGUGCAGGAAAGGCAAGGGCCAGGGAAUCCCACACUGGGGGUGAGCUGCGCCACCUAGUGGGCUUUUUCCUCCUUGCAGGCAUCCUUCUCACCUAUCACUGCCUCCAGCCUAGAUUUGCUGACAAGCUCUCAGGCAGAACCCAAACGGCUCUAAGACUUAAGGUGCCCUCCUCCUUUAUGCAGGCCUGACCCAGCUUAGAGAGGGGAAAACUGGGGUUAGGGGGAAUCUGUGACGGAGAUAAUCACAUACUCGCUGGUAUUUAAGGCAAUGGGGAAGCCAGCACUUUGGCCUGGGAAUAGUCUCUCCCUAUUAUUCUGAAUGCCACAUAUAUGAGGAUUAGAGGCCCCCAGAGACCCCCCUCCUCUACCUAACCUCCUUUCCUCCAGGGUGAGCAAGGCUAGGCUCAGCUCUGCUGAUCAAGGAAGAGCUGGCAUAGGCUGGAGCUGCUGGCUUUCCUCUGACGUCAUAGCCUGGAAAUCACAUUUUAAGCAGGUUCUCCUAGUGUGGGGCACACACAAGGAAGGGAGGGGAAGCAGGAUGAAACCGCUUCAUGCCUGAGGACCGUUUUAGCCAGGGACCUCAGGCCUGGAGGGCUGCCCAGUGUCCCCAACAUGGUUUGGGCGUGGGACACAGGGCUAAACCUCAGCCCCUACUUCAAAGCUAAUCUCUCUCAAUGCCCAGUGGGUUUCCAGGCAAUUAUCAAGCACCUUCCACAUAGCUCCUGCCAGACAUCUCUGUCCUGACUUCCCUUCCCCACUCCCCUGGCCUAGAGAGAUCUACUAAGGUGGAGGGGAGAGGGCAGGUGACCCCAGG